UACAGAGGUCUCAAGCGUUGUUCGGAUUCAUUGGGCGUAAAGGGCGCGUAGGUGGCCUGCUAAGCGUGCGGUGAAAGCUCGGGGCUCAACCCCGAGUCGGCCGUGCGAACUGGUGGGCUUGAGCACUGUAGAGGCAGGCGGAAUUCCGGGUGUAGCGGUGGAAUGCGUAGAGAUCCGGAAGAACACCGGUGGCGAAGGCGGCCUGCUGGGCAGUAGCUGACACUGAGGCGCGACAGCGUGGGGAGCAAACAGG
rnacentral:rRNA from 1 species